rnacentral:rRNA from 1 species
GUUCUUGAAACCCAAAGGAAUUUGGCGGUAUUUUAUUCUUUAAGAGGAAUCUGUCCUGUGAUUGAUAAUCCACGAUGGUUAAUUACUCAUUUUAGUAUUCAAUUUGUAUACCUCCGUCAUAAGAUUAUCUUUUUAGAGUAAAUAUUCUAAUUAUACAAAAUAUAAAAUGUCAGGUCAAGGUGCAGUUUAUAAAUGAGUAGAGAUGGAUUACAUUAAAAUUAUUUAAACGGAUUGUUAAUAUUAUUAUUAAUAUGAAGGUGGAUUUAAAAGUAAAAUUAUUUCCUUAUUAAUUUGAUUCUAGCUCUGAAAUAUGCACACAUCGCCCGUCACUCUUAUUUUAAAAUAAGAUAAGUCGUAACAUAGUAGAGGUACCGGAAGGUGUCUCUAG